rnacentral:rRNA from 1 species
GACAGAGGGUGCAAACGUUGUUCGGAAUUACUGGGCGUAAAGCGCGUGUAGGCGGCCAUCUAAGUCGGGCGUGAAAGCCCACGGCUCAACCGUGGAGGGUCAUUGGAAACUGGGGGACUUGAGUACAGAAGAGAAGAGUGGAAUUCCACGUGUAGCGGUGAAAUGCGUAGAGAUGUGGAGGAACACCAGUGGCGAAGGCGACUCUUUGGUCUGUAACUGACGCUGAGGCGCGAAAGCGUGGGGAGCAAACAGG